AUAUCAGUAAGCGGAGGAAAAGAAAACAAAAGUGAUUCCAUUAGUAGCUGCGAGCGAACCUGGACAGGCUCAAAACCGAAUCGGGCGCCCUUGAGUGGACGUGCUGAAAUGUAGUUUACCGGAUGGUCCUCGGCAAUAGGGAGUUUGGGUAAGUCUGUUGGAACACAGCGCCACAGAGGGUGAUAGCCCCGUUCCUGGAUUCCCUGGAGCCAACACGUGGGCUUUCCGCAGAGUCACACUGUUUGAGAGUACAGUGUAAAGACGGCAGGUGAACCCCUGUUAAAGCUAAAUACCACCUACACACCGAUAGCGAACAAGUAGCGCAAGCGAAAGUUGCAAAGAACUUUGAAAAGAGAGUUAAAAGACCUGAAACCACACGCGGGGAAGGGCUGGGUCGAGUUGCGCGUAGUGGCGACUCAAGUCUUGUGCUGGCUGAGGCCUGGAUGCUGCUCACCUGUCCUAUGGCAGGGAGUGUCACCAGCGUCGGCUGGGCAGGAUGGCAUUUCGCCACAGCGGCAAGCAUGGUUGCGGGCACAGGAAGCUAGCUGGGGGGGUGCAUCCACUUGCUUCGGCAAGAGGUCCC
rnacentral:rRNA from 1 species